rnacentral:rRNA from 1 species
GAAGCCAGUCGCAGAUACCAGCUGGCUGCAACUGUUUAUUAAAAACACAGCACUGUGCAAACACGAAAGUGGACGUAUACGGUGUGACGCCUGCCCGGUGCUGGAAGGUUAAUUGAUGGGGUUAUCCGUAAGGAGAAGCUCUUGAUCGAAGCCCCAGUAAACGGCGGCCGUAACUAUAACGGUCCUAAGGUAGCGAAAUUCCUUGUCGGGUAAGUUCCGACCUGCACGAAUGGCGUAAUGAUGGCCAGGCUGUCUCCACCCGAGACUCAGUGAAAUUGAACUCGCUGUGAAGAUGCAGUGUACCCGCGGCAAGACGGAAAGACCCCGUGAACCUUUACUAUAGCUUGACACUGAACAUUGAGCCUUGAUGUGUAGGAUAGGUGGGAGGCUUUGAAGUGUGGACGCCAGUCUGCAUGGAGCCAACCUUGAAAUACCACCCUUUAAUGUUUGAUGUUCUAACGUAGCCCCAUAAUCUGGGGUGCGGACAGUGUCUGGUGGGUAGUUUGACUGGGGCGGUCUCCUCCCAAAGCGUAACGGAGGAGCACGAAGGUUGGCUAAGCAUGGUCGGACAUCAUGCGGUUAGUGCAAAGGCAUAAGCCAGCUUGACUGCGAGAGUGACGGCUCGAGCAGGUACGAAAGUAGGUCUUAGUGAUCCGGUGGUUCUGAAUGGAAGGGCCAUCGCUCAACGGAUAAAAGGUACUCCGGGGAUAACAGGCUGAUACCGCCCAAGAGUUCAUAUCGACGGCGGUGUUUGGCACCUCGAUGUCGGCUCAUCACAUCCUGGGGCUGAAGUAGGUCCCAAGGGUAUGGCUGUUCGCCAUUUAAAGUGGUACGCGAGCUGGGUUUAGAACGUCGUGAGACAGUUCGGUCCCUAUCUGCCGUGGGCGUUGGAAGAUUGAAAGGGGCUGCUCCUAGUACGAGAGGACCGGAGUGGACGCACCGCUGGUGUUCGGGUUGUCAUGCCAAUGGCACUGCCCGGUAGCUAAGUGCGGAAGAGAUAACCGCUGAAAGCAUCUAAGCGGGAAACUUGCCUUGAGAUGAGUCUUCCCUGACUCUUUAAGGGUCCUAAAGGAACGUUUAAGACGAAGACGUUGAUAGGCUGGGUGUGUAAGCGUAGCGAUACGUUGAGCUAACCAGUACUAAUGAACCGUGAGGCUUAACCUGACAACACCGAAGGUGUUUUAG